ACAGACAUGACAGCCUUGAGCACACAGAUGCUUGCUUGCUGUGGAGUUGGGAGAGAGCUGGCUUCUCUUGGGCAUGGUUCAUAUCCUGCUUUGGUGGCCCUUCCUCUCAAAAGCUUGCCUCGUUGUGACUUUCUCCAUGAGCUUAGCAGCAUCUCUGGAGUGCUCCUCAGCACUGUCUCCUGUUGCAUCAAGAGAAUAGAAGUGGAGAGUGGGGCAAAGUACUUCACCCUAGUGUGAUUCAGAAUCUUCUUGGGCUCAAGAGAAUGCCACUGCCUCUACCUCCAAUCCUCAACAUCUUGCCGGAGAUUUUGAUUAAUCUUUCUACAGCUUACAAUAGAACAGCCGCAUAUGCAGACUGUAUCCCAUUUUGAGAAGAACCACCUCAAUUUAUUAUUGGUUUCUGAAAGGAAGUCAUGGGAAAAAAUUAAGAAUGAAGAAAGAUGGGGCCCUGACAAUGGCCUUCAAUUCUUCCCAGUCAGUAGACUUGGUAGAGGCUCAUCUCCUUUGAGGGCCUCCUGGACCAUGAACUUCCGCUGUCUUGGGACCUUGGGUGGGAGGCUUGACAUGCAAGUGAGAGGUCACAGAGGGUUGGUGUCCCAUUCUUCU
rnacentral:lncRNA from 1 species